GUUCUGAUCACAGUGCAGCCAGCGACGGACGCAGAAGAGAGUCCGCUUAGUCUCCCAGACGAGCAGGGCAGGCUUGACUGAAAAGACGAGUCUCCUCGACAGUCUGCCAUCUCUCCGCUCGGAGGAAAAGUGGUGCGCAGUCCGCGUCUCUCCCUGCACCCCCACUGCCCGCGCGCCCCGAGCGGCACCCAGGACCCCCACAUCUGGGGGAGAGAGGGGGAGACCCGUCUCCGGUCCGAUUCCGGAGGAGGAGGAGGAGGAGACGGGGCGAAGCGAAGCGAAGCCGACAGGACCGGGGAAGAGCGGCUGUCUUUUGGAAGGGGCUGUGCACGAAAUAUUUGUUUUGAUUUUUUUUCGGGGGGACAGUCUCCGGAAACCGGGGCUCGGCCACGGAGAAACGCCGCUCGCGCCAGCGCUGGGAUUUACAGAAACCGGGAAACCGGGAAGAGGCAGCCCGAGUCCUCGCGGGCGAUUUUUCCCCCCCGAUAUAUUACUGGAAGAGGCGACGUCGGCGGGACCGUCCGUGUCCGGUCCCGCGUGUGUCCAGAGCAGGGGCUGAAGCCCCCGAGCGGCCGUGGCGGUGCGGACGGUGGAGCGGAGCGCUACUGGCAGAGAAUUCCCCUGGGAAAGCAGAUCCCUCCCUCCCUCCCUGGACACCAGGACUGCCUGAUUCACACAGCCAGGAUAACAUUUCCCCAGGGAAAAUGGACGCUGGGAUUGGGAGUUACGCGGAGUAGGACCUGGAAUAGCACGGAAGGCCAACGCACAGACGCUCAGUGCUGGAAGAGGGAAGUAAGCGCUCCGAACUGCACCUGGGAAUAUUUCAGCGUGGGACCGGGAUUUGCACAGCAGAAACACAGGCUCUAGGACGGGGGUUUGGGAGGAGGAGACCGGACAGCGUCCGGCGGGCGGACACACCACUGCAGACCCCCGGGCCAGCAGGUCCAAGUCUCCCGAGGGUCCCAGCAGGCCGAUGAAGGCGCGGACUGUCUCCGAACGCCCCCCGGGACGUGCCUGGGCACGCUCCCCAGCCCGGUCACACUAACCAGCAUGCCUGUUCCAGAGGCUCGGGGCGGAACGGACCGGUGCCGGGCCUGACACUCGCCGGCGCGGACCCCAGAUUUCAUCGCGCCCUCGCGGUCAGGCCAGCAGGAUCGACACCAAGAGGGUGUGAGGAAAGGGGGCGUGUCACAGCAGCCCUCGCAUCAGAGCCCUCUGAUUGGCCCAGGAGAACACAGCUGCCAGGAAGUGGGAGUGUCCUUCCCUAGGCCCUCCCGUCACCCUAUAAGGCAAUCGGGGGCGGGGUGAGGCGCGGGGGCGGGGCCGCCUCUGCGUCGCCAUGGCUCCCGAGGGCAUGGCGGAGCUGCGCGACUGGCUCUUCCUGCUCCUGCUCUGCCUCACGCUGCUGGCCGAGGCCCUGGAGUUCG